rnacentral:rRNA from 1 species
GCCAUGCAUGUCAAAGUCCAAGCUGUGUGUGGGGGUGCAAGCUCUUACACAUGGCGAAACCGCGGACGGCUCAUUAAAUCAGUCGUGGUCCAAAUGGGCUAGUGUUAUCUUACUUGGAUAACUGUGGUAAUUCCAGAGCUAAUACAUGCAACUGAAAGUCCGAUCGGUGUGUGUGUAAGCACACACUGUGACGGCUGCUUUUAUUAGACCAAACCGCUGAGUUAGAGUUGGCUACGUAGCCCUCUCUAUAAGACUCGUGUUAUGGUGACUCUGAAUAACACCUUUUGACAAGCGCACGUAUCCAUUUGUAUGGGACGGCGCUGCCACUUUCGAGUGUCUGCCUUAUCAGCUAUGAAUCGUUCGUUAUGUGCGUACGAUGGCUUUGACGGGUAACGGGGAAUCAGUGUUCGAUUCCGGAGAGGCAGCCUGAGAAACGGCUACCACGUCCAAGGACGGCAGCAGGCACGCAAAUUACCCAAUCCCAGCACCUGGGGGAGGUAGUGACGGAAUAUAACGAUGCGGGCGCCCCUUCUGGGGCCCCGCAAUCGGAAUGAGCAUUUUCUUUCUAAACACCCUGUUGAGAACCUACUGAAGGGCAAGUCUGGUGCCAGCAGCCGCGGUAAUUCCAGCUUCAGCAGCAUCUAUUAAAGUUGCUGCGGUUAAAAGGCUCGCAGUUGAAUGUCAGUGCAAAGUGCAGCGAUGGUGGACGUUGGAGUGUGUUGUUGAGUGUUUCUCCUCGGUGGUUUCCUUGUGUCUCUGCCUUGGUGUAUUCAUUCACUGCGCGUCUAUAGCUCCCGUCCGUAAACAGCCUCCUCACUGUCGUACAAUGUUUGUAAAUGGUUAUGAUGGAAAUGGAACGUUAAAGGGUGAUUGGGUGUGUGUGUGUUGUGCGUUGGUUAAUUCUUUCGCGCGCGCGCGCUCGCUUUUUCUCUCCUUGUCCCUGAUUACAGCAUGUUUUCAAAGUCACCUUGAGUAAAUCAGAGUGCUCAGAGCAGUCGUAAGGAAUGUGUUGCGUUCGCGCGUAGCACGUUCUGUGAUGAAUGUCAAUUGACAGACGGACUUGGUUUUGCAUGGUAUGUCGAAAGACGCCGUAUUUCCUGUUGGUUACGAGUCUAACGCGGGCUUGCAGUUCUCUUAGAGUUUCUCACUAUUGUGAGUUUCUCAACAUAGAGUCUGUGACAUAUGAGACCAACAGGUGCGGAAUGAUUAAGAGGAACUGUCGAAGGUAUUGGUAUUGCGAGGCGAGAGGUGAAAUUCUAUGACCCCCGCAAGACCUCCUAAAGCGAAAGCGUCUGCCAAGGAUGUUUUCAUAAUCACCAGGCGUGGAGCCUGCGGCUUAAUUUGACUCAACACGGGCCAUCUCACCAGGCCAGCACUCUUGUACGAUUGACAGAUUGAAAGUUCUUUCUCGAUUCAGUGGAUGGUGGUGCAUGGCCGUUCUUAGUUGGUGGAGUGAUCUGUCUGGUUAAUUCCGAUAACGAACGAGACUCUCCCCUGCUAAAUAGUCGGUUGGAUUUUGCGUCUGAGAGUUGUGAGUGCACAUGCUGUGAUUCUCGUGUUCGUGAGGUGUAUUCGUAUGCCGAGCGUGUGCGGGUUUUUCUGUGUGUGUUACUUGCACUCCAAGUCCGCCGCUUACUUGCACAAGUGAUGUGUAACAGCAAAGCUAUAUGAGUAAAACUCUUCUUAGAGGGAUUCACGGUUCUGAAACCGUAAGAAACUGAGAGCAAUAACAGGUCUGUGAUGCCCUUAGAUGUUCUGGGCCGCACGCGCGCUACAAUGCCGGGCUCAGCAGGUGUCUAUCCUUCUCCGAUAGGAGUGGGUAACCCUCUGAAAGCCCUUUAAACAAUUUAUAAAAGAGUUCGUGUGCUUUUUAGUGCGCGUUCUCUUCCUUGGCUUGCUUGGGCCUGGGGCUUGCAAUUCUUUCCCACAAACGAGGAAUGCCUAGUAGCGGCGGAUCACUGAGUUCGCUGUGACUCAGUCCCUGCCCUUUGUACACACCGCCCGUCGCUACUACCGAUUGGGUGUACCAGUGAGAUCCUUGGACUGGCGAGCCUUGUACCCUAGCAAUAGAGUUCAAGUGUGUACGACGGGAAGAGGCUCGAACUGGUGCACUUAGAGGAAGUAAAAGUCGUAACAA